GAUCCCGUGGUCCAAUGGCGAAGACGCUUGGCCGACAUCCAGGAGAGCGCUGGUUCGAUUCCAGCCGGGAUCA
rnacentral:tRNA from 1 species